GACGAACGCUGGUGGCGUGCUUAACACAUGCAAGUCGAACGGGAUUUAGUAAACAGAAGCCUCUGUGGAAGAUUACUAAUGAGAGUGGCGAACGGGUGAGUAACGCGUGAGCAACCUGCCUAUGACAGUGGGAUAGCCUCGGGAAACCGGGAUUAAUACCGCAUAAAAUCGUAGAAACACAUGUUUUAACGGUCAAAGAUUUAUCGGUCAUAGAUGGGCUCGCGUCUGAUUAGCUAGUUGGUGAGAUAACAGCACACCAAGGCGACGAUCAGUAGCCGGUCUGAGAGGAUGAACCGCCACAUUGGAACUGAGACACGGUCCAAAAUCCUACGGGAGGCAGCAGUGGGGAAUAUUGCACAAUGGGGGAAACCCUGAUGCAGCGACGCCGCGUGAACGAAGAAGGUAUUCGUAUCGUAAAGUUCUGUCCUAUGGGAAGAUAAUGACAGUACCAUAGAAGAAAGCGCCGGCUAAAUACGUG
rnacentral:rRNA from 1 species